CUUUGACUGUUUUGCCCCUGACUGCCUCUUUGUUUUGCCUGACUUUCACUUUGAGAGUGACAGUGAAUCAGAGAGAGAGAGAGAGAGAGGGGCUUUUGCUCAGCUUCCCACAGAGCACAGAGUGUGAGGGAACGAGAAGGAGGAUCGAUAGGCGGGAGGGAGAAAGAUGUAAUCAGGGAGGGGACCUUUCAGUGCCAAUCAGCAGAAGAAGAAGGUUCACUGAAGGGAAAGUCUAAGAGGAGGAAAGGAUUUCUUGAUCGAUUGGGUUCUCCGGAUAGUUGAAUCAGAAAAUUACAAAAUCGACUUGCUUCCUGGAGGCAUCAUCCGAAACCCGGUCUCCUGAUUUGACCUUGAUUCCUCCCUCGAUUUCAGUUUGGGAAUUUCGGUUUCACCUUCAGAGUUUCAAUCUUCGAAUGUAAAAGAGUGGAUGAAUGUGAAGAGAUUUGGGAUGGUGAACGGGGGGGGGGGGGGGGGCGGGAAGAGGAAGAAGAAGAAGGUGAUUCUGGGUCAUUGAGUUUUUCUGUGAGGAGGAAGAAGACCUGCGUUUCGGGUAACUCUGCUUGUCAGGAAAGGAAAUUCCAAAAGACGCUGAUGUGCAACCACAAAUGCCUUUAUGCGGGUGCUGAUCAUGUAUUACUUAAGGUUGGAAUUCAAGUUCAUCAUUUGAGGAUAUAUGAUUAUCAAGUAGACUGAUAGAUUUACUAUUAAAUGCAUCUCUUAUUUGAUUGUGGCAAGUAGACUUACAAGUAUAUGUUGUAAUUAGAAAGUCCAAAGCAAGUCUAUGUUGUAAUUAGGUUGUUGUCUUCCCCUUCCACCGUCUUGAUGUACUCGUUUUUCUUUUUCCCUCGCUCUGUCGAGGUUUGCUAAAAAAAAAAAAAUAUGUUGUAAUUAGAAACGUUACAGGAUACUGUUGUAUUAUGUAAUCGUUGUUAUAAUGGAACAUGGGAGCGAGGGAUAGGUUUUUGGUGAUA